GAUGGUGAGGGCAAAGCCGAGAAGAGACGAUUCAAUGGGCUCUACAAGGCAGUGUUCUGGUUGGAAGGCUCAGCAGGCUUACUCCUACUGCCUCUGCUGCUUUGGCUGGAAAGAGACCAGACCAACCAUGAGGGGUGCAUGGCACAGGGAUGGCGGGAGCUGGUCCUCUCACCGUGAGGAAGAUAUUGUGCUGAGACACUUAAGGUGAGGUUGGAAAGGAACAUGAAGAAUUUAGUGGAUGGGAGAGGUGACGGAGUCAAACAGUGGUGUGGACAGCUGACAACAGAGUCUGGCGAAGGACUGUCCUCUCAUAGCUGGGCAGUGAAUGCAAAGGGCUUUUUGUACAAGAAGGUUCCAUCCACUCCCUUUGGCUCUUCAUGGUCUUUCCUGUGGACAUUCCAGAAGAGUGCAGGAAGGUGACCUUGGGGGAAUCUGUGGUUCAUGUUGGAACACUGGACAUACCACAUAAUUGGAAAGAUGCCCUCUGGAAGCAUAACAAGGUGCAGCUCAACUUUUCGAAUGCUGGUAACAAGAACAUUUCCAUUUCCAAUGACUGCUUGUGUCCUGAAACUUUCCACCCAAAUAAUAACAGACAUUCUAGCUGUGACAGUCAUGGGCAGGGUACCAGGGUCUCUGUGACAGCCAUGGUCAUCCAAGUAGUGACCUGUGGGAGUCGAGAAAGUAAUUGGUUUCAAGACGACUAAGUAGCCAGUCUUGGUUCAAACUUUUGGAACCUGCCCCUGAGUUUUAGCUAUAUUUAAGAAAAGUAUAAUUUGGUAGAAACCUUUCCUUGUGAUAGUGAACUCAAUCUCGUGUGCACAAUAAAGCUUAAGAUGUG
rnacentral:lncRNA from 1 species